CCUACCCCACUCUCCCUUCUGUCGUCCGUUAACUCGCCAGUCAAUUUCUUUCGAUUCUCUCUCCCCUCGCGAGCUCACUGUUUCUUAGGUCAAUGCGAACCCUAAGACUCUUCCACUGAACUACAAUGGCGAUCGACGCUUUGCUGCUAGGGAAGUGGGAAUGCACUUCAAUUAGAUGCCAGACAAUGUGGAUUCUCUUCAUUAUUUUAUUGGUGCAAUCGGAGAUGUUGCUCUUUUGUACGUAAUUAGAUUUGUGGCUUAAUUUCAAGUCCUGNGGUGGUUUGCUUUUGGAGAGUCCUUUUAUUAAGUUUGCUGGAAGACAGGA
rnacentral:misc_RNA from 1 species